AGGGAAUCUUCGGCAAUGGACGGAAGUCUGACCGAGCAACGCCGCGUGAGUGAAGAAGGUUUUCGGAUCGUAAAGCUCUGUUGUAAGAGAAGAACGAGUGUGAGAGUGGAAAGUUCACGCUGUGACGGUAUCUUACCAGAAAGGGACGGCUAACUACGUGCCAGCAGCCGCGGUAAUACGUAGGUCCCGAGCGUUGUCCGGAUUUAUUGGGCGUAAAGCGAGCGCAGGCGGUUAGAUAAGUCUGAAGUUAAAGGCUGUGGCUUAACCAUAGUACGCUUUGGAAACUGUUUAACUUGAGUGCAAGAGGGGAGAGUGGAAUUCCAUGUGUAGCGGUGAAAUGCGUAGAUAUAUGGAGGAACACCGGUGGCGAAAGCGGCUCUCUGGCUUGUAACUGACGCUGAGGCUCGAAAGCGUGGGGAGCAAACAGGAUUAGAUACCCUGGUAGUCCACACCGUAAACGAUGAGUGCUAGGUGUUAGACCCUUUCCGGGGUUUAGUGCCGCAGCUAACGCAUUAAGCACUCCGCCUGGGGAGUACGACCGCAAGGUUG
rnacentral:rRNA from 1 species